UGCGUAGGCGGCAUUGUAAGUCAGAGGUGAAAGCUCCCAGCUUAACUGGGGAACUGCCUUUGAUACUGCGGUGCUUGAAUCAGGCUGAGGUCAGCGGAAUGAGUCAUGUAGCGGUGGAAUGCAUAGAUAUGACUUAGAACACCAAUUGCGAAGGCAGCUGACUAGACCUGUAUUGACGCUGAGGCACGAAAGCGUGGGGAGCGAACAGGAUUAGAUACCCUGGUAGUCC
rnacentral:rRNA from 1 species